rnacentral:piRNA from 1 species
UACACACCUGCAGUGUUGGGGUUGCCCGGA